GACGAACGCUGGCGGCGUGCCUAAUACAUGCAAGUUGAGCGCUGAAGGUUGGUACUUGUACCAACUGGAUGAGCAGCGAACGGGUGAGUAACGCGUGGGGAAUCUGCCUUUGAGCGGGGGACAACAUUUGGAAACGAAUGCUAAUACCGCAUAAAAACUUUAAACACAAGUUUUAAGUUUGAAAGAUGCAAUUGCAUCACUCAAAGAUGAUCCCGCGUUGUAUUAGCUAGUUGGUGAGGUAAAGGCUCACCAAGGCGAUGAUACAUAGCCGACCUGAGAGGGUGAUCGGCCACAUUGGGACUGAGACACGGCCCAAACUCCUACGGGAGGGAGCAGUAGGGAAUCGUCGGCCAGGGAGGAAAGGCUGACCGAACAACGCCGCGGGAGUGAAGAAGGUUUUCGGAUCGUAAAACUCUGUUGGUAGAGAAGAACGUUGGUGAGAGUGGAAAGCUCAUCAAGUGACGGUAACUACCCAGAAAGGGACGGCUAACUACGUG
rnacentral:rRNA from 1 species